UACGUAGGGUGCGAGCGUUGUCCGGAAUUAUUGGGCGUAAAGAGCUCGUAGGCGGUUUGUUGCGUCGGCCGUGAAAACCUGCAGCUUAACUGUGGGCCUGCGGCCGAUACAGGCAGACUUGAGUUCGGUAGGGGAGACUGGAAUUCCUGGUGUAGCGGUGAAAUGCGCAGAUAUCAGGAGGAACACCGGUGGCGAAGGCGGGUCUCUGGGCCGAUGACUGACGCUGAGGAGCGAAAGCGUGGGGAGC
rnacentral:rRNA from 1 species